AAUCUUGGGCCAGGGACGAAAGGCUGACGGAGCAACGCCGCGUGAGUGAUGAAGGUCUUCGGAUCGUAAAACUCUGUUGUUAGGGAGUAACAAGUACCGAUCGAUUAGGGCGGUACCUUGACUGUACCUAACCAGAAAGCCACGGCUAACUACGUGCCAGCAGCCGCGGUAAUACGUAGGUGGCAAGCGUUAUCCGGAAUUAUUGGGCGUAAAGCGCGCGCAGGCGGUUUCUUAAGUCUGAUGUGAAAGCCCACGGCUCAACCGGGGAGGGUCAUUAGAAACUGGGAAGCUUGAGUGAAGAAGAGGAGAGUGGAAUUCCAUGUGUAGCGGUGAAAUGCGUAGAGAUAUGGAGGAACACCAGUGGCGAAGGCGACUCUCUGGUCUGCAACUGACGCUGAGGCGCGAAAGCGUGGGGAGCGAACA
rnacentral:rRNA from 1 species